rnacentral:rRNA from 1 species
AGAGUUCGAUCCUGGCUCAGGAUGAACGCUGGCGGCGCGCCUAACACAUGCAAGUCGAACGGCACCUAUCUUCGGAUAGAAGCGAGUGGCGAACGGCUGAGUAACACGUGGAGAACCUGCCCCCUCCCCCGGGAUAGCCGCCCGAAAGGACGGGUAAUACCGGAUACACCGGGGUGCCGCAUGGCACCCCGGCUAAAGCCCCGACGGGAGGGGAUGGCUCCGCGGCCCAUCAGGUAGACGGCGGGGUGACGGCCCACCGUGCCGACAACGGGUAGCCGGGUUGAGAGACCGACCGGCCAGAUUGGGACUGAGACACGGCCCAGACUCCUACGGGAGGCAGCAGUGGGGAAUCUUGCGCAAUGGGGGGAACCCUGACGCAGCGACGCCGCGUGCGGGACGGAGGCCUUCGGGUCGUAAACCGCUUUCAGCAGGGAAGAGUCAAGACUGUACCUGCAGAAGAAGCCCCGGCUAACUACGUGCCAGCAGCCGCGGUAAUACGUAGGGGGCGAGCGUUAUCCGGAUUCAUUGGGCGUAAAGCGCGCGUAGGCGGCCCGGCAGGCCGGGGGUCGAAGCGGGGGGCUCAACCCCCCGAAGCCCCCGGAACCUCCGCGGCUUGGGUCCGGUAGGGGAGGGUGGAACACCCGGUGUAGCGGUGGAAUGCGCAGAUAUCGGGUGGAACACCGGUGGCGAAGGCGGCCCUCUGGGCCGAGACCGACGCUGAGGCGCGAAAGCUGGGGGAGCGAACAGGAUUAGAUACCCUGGUAGUCCCAGCCGUAAACGAUGGACGCUAGGUGUGGGGGGACGAUCCCCCCGUGCCGCAGCCAACGCAUUAAGCGUCCCGCCUGGGGAGUACGGCCGCAAGGCUAAAACUCAAAGGAAUUGACGGGGGCCCGCACAAGCAGCGGAGCAUGUGGCUUAAUUCGAAGCAACGCGAAGAACCUUACCAGGGCUUGACAUAUGGGUGAAGCGGGGGAGACCCCGUGGCCGAGAGGAGCCCAUACAGGUGGUGCAUGG